rnacentral:rRNA from 1 species
AGAGCGAACGCUGGCGGCAGGCCUAACACAUGCAAGUCGAGCGCCCCGCAAGGGGAGCGGCAGACGGGAGAGUAACACGUGGGAACGUACCCUUCAGUUCGGAACAACCCAGGGAAACUUGGGCUAAUACCGAAUACGUCCGUAAGGAGAAAGAUUUAUCGCUGAAGGAUCGGCCCGCGUCUGAUUAGCUUGUUGGUGAGGUAACGGCUCACCAAGGCGACGAUCAGUAGCUGGUCUGAGAGGAUGAUCAGCCUCACUGGGACUGAGACACGGCCCAGACUCCUACGGGAGGCAGCAGUGGGGAAUAUUGGACAAUGGGCGCAAGCCUGAUCCAGCCAUGCCGCGUGGGUGAUGAAGGCCCUAGGGUUGUAAAGCCCUUUCGGCGGGAAGAUAAUGACGGUACCCGCAGAAGAAGCCCCGGCUAACUUCGCGCCAGCAGCCGC